UUGAAUAUAAUUUAAAUUAAAAUAAUAAUUUUGUAAAUUAUAUUUAUAUA
rnacentral:tRNA from 1 species